rnacentral:lncRNA from 1 species
GGAUACAGUUAAAGAUUGAUGCUGUUGUGUUCAAGAAAAAAUAGGCUUUUCUUAGUUGAUGAUGGAGCUGAGGAAUAGUCGUGUCUAGCUUCUGACCUGGGAAAUGGCAAGAGGGCUCUGGGGGCCUGGAAUUCCUACGGACGGAAUGGGAGUUAUCAGUGGGGACCAGUGCCGAGCUGACACAUGUCUGUGUUUGCCAGUGACGCUGCCCGCCACCAUCAUGACGUCAUCCGUGCCCACAACUGUGGGUGGCCACAUGAUGUACCCUAGCCCGCAUGCGGUGAUGUAUGCCCCCACCUCGGGCCUGGGUGAUGGCAGCCUCACCGUGCUGAAUGCCUUCUCCCAGGCACCAUCCACCAUGCAGGUGUCACACAGCCAGGUCCAGGAGCCAGGUGGCGUCCCC